rnacentral:rRNA from 1 species
UGCAAGUCGAGGGGUAGAGUAGCAAUACUUGAGACCGGCGCACGGGUGCGUAACGCGUAUGCAAUCUACCUUUUACAGAGGGAUAGCCCAGAGAAAUUUGGAUUAAUACCUCAUAGUAUCUUCGAGUGGCAUCACUUGAUUAUUAAAGUUCCAACGGUAAAAGAUGAGCAUGCGUCCCAUUAGCUAGAUGGUAAGGUAACGGCUUACCAUGGCAACGAUGGGUAGGGGUCCUGAGAGGGAGAUCCCCCACACUGGUACUGAGACACGGACCAGACUCCUACGGGAGGCAGCAGUGGGGAAUAUUGGACAAUGGGGGCAACCCUGAUCCAGCCAUGCCGCGUGUGUGAAGAAGGCCUUCGGGUUGUAAAGCACUUUAAGCGAGGAGGAAGGUUUUUAGUUUAAUACACUAAAGAAUUGACGUUACUCGCAGAAUAAGCACCGGCUAACUCUGUGCCAGCAGCCGCGGUAAUACAGAGGGUGCAAGCGUUAAUCGGAAUUACUGGGCGUAAAGCGCGCGUAGGCGGUUUGUUAAGUCGGAUGUGAAAUCCCUGGGCUCAACCUAGGCACUGCAUCCGAUACUGGCUAACUAGAGUGUGGGAGAGGAAGGUAGAAUUCCAGGUGUAGCGGUGAAAUGCGUAGAGAUCUGGAGGAAUACCGAUGGCGAAGGCAGCCUUCUGGCCUAACACUGACGCUGAGGUGCGAAAGCAUGGGGAGCAAACAGGAUUAGAUACCCUGGUAGUCCAUGCUGUAAACGAUGUCAACUAGCCGUUGGGGACCUUGAGUCUUUAGUGGCGCAGCUAACGCGAUAAGUUGACCGCCUGGGGAGUACGGUCGCAAGACUAAAACUCAAAUGAAUUGACGGGGGCCCGCACAAGCGGUGGAGCAUGUGGUUUAAUUCGAUGCAACGCGAAGAACCUUACCUGGCCUUGACAUGUCUGGGAAUCCUGCAGAGAUGCGGGAGUGCCUUCGGGAAUCAGAACACAGGUGCUGCAUGGCUGUCGUCAGCUCG